GACAUUUUCCCACUUAGCAUAUCCCAAAUGAUUUGGUUACAAGUUUCUUAAGCAAAACUUGAACAGUGAAUGACGUUGAAUAAUUUUUUCAUGAUGUUGUAGAAUGGAUGACUUGUAUAUUUCCAUUUUAUUUUUCAAAACAUCCCUUAAACCUAAAAAAUAAAAAAAUUAACAAAUUGAAGAAGAGAGAAACCGAUUAGCACCAGAAAUGGCCUAUUCGCACGGAAAAUAAAAAUUAAAAAAAAAAGUUGGAGUAAAUAUAAUUAACAAAUGGACAGGCUAAAAAGUAAUAUAAUAAUAAUAAAAAUAAUUUAGGAUAAAUCAUAAUAAAAUACUAAUGUAGCAUAACCAUGAAACAGGGAAUUCA
rnacentral:lncRNA from 1 species